rnacentral:rRNA from 1 species
UCGCCUGCAUGAAGUCGGAAUUGCUAGUAAUCGCAGAUCAGCAUGCUGCGGUGAAUACGUUCCCGGGCCUUGUACACACCGCCCGUCACACCAUGGGAGUCGGUAACACCCGAAGUCGGUAGCCUAACCGUAAGGAGGGCGCCGCCGAAGGUGGGAUUGAUGACUGGGGUGAAGUCGUAACAAGGUAGC